rnacentral:rRNA from 1 species
GGUGAACGCUGGCGGCGUGCUUAAGACAUGCAAGUCGAACGGGCUCUUCGGAGCCAGUGGCGCACGGGUGAGUAACGCGUAACUGACCUACCCCAAAGUCGCGGAUAACGAUUCGAAAGAAUCGCUAAUACGUGAUGUGCUGUCAGAUCCUGUUCUGCCAGUAAAGAUUUAUUGCUUUGGGAUGGGGUUGCGUUCCAUCAGCUAGUUGGUGGGGUAAAGGCCCACUAAGGCGACGACGGAUCGCCGGCCUGAGAGGGUGGCCGGCAACAGGGGCACUGAGACACGGGUCCCACUCCUACGGGAGGCAGCAGUUAGGAAUCUUCCACAAUGGGCGAAAGCCUGAUGGAGCGACGCCGCGUGAGGGAUGAAGGUCUUCGGAUCGUAAACCUCGGAAUCAGGGACGAAAGACGCGAAAGCGGGAUGACGGUACCUGAGUAAUAGCACCGGCUAACUCCGUG